AGAUAUCAAAUAAAAUUUUAUAAAAUUGUUAUGACACAUAAAUUAUUCUCAAACAACUCCAGGCUCCAGUAAUUUCAUAUUCUUUAAAAACAAAUAUUUAAACAACCCCAGGCUCCAGUAAAUUCAUAUCUUUUAAAAACAAAUAUUUAACUACUUAUAAUAUUAUAAUAUUGUAACACAAAAGUGUAAGAAAGGAAAAGAAAUUAAUACAAAUUAAAAAUAUUUUUGAGCGUUCAUCUUAUAACAAAACACCAAUAUUAUAAGACUUUUCAAUAAACACCAACAAAAAUCAUCGCAUCUCCUACGAACAUAAAAUCAGACAUAUGUGGAGAGAUUUGUUUAGCCGGCUCUUGCUAUGUCUCUCCCUCGUAAUCAAUGCAUGUUCCCUCUGUGUUGAUUUAGGUCGGUGUGAGCCCUGCAUGAACCUAAAGUCGCUUAGGUUUUUUGGUCAAUCUUAAAAUAUACUAUAAAUAUACAGAAAACCUAGUGACACCGUUUAUCUGAUGAGAACGUGAUGGAUAGGCUGUUUGUGACAAAACAGUCCAUUUUCCAAAUCUGCAUAACCAUGUGCUUGCUAGGAUGAAUGCUGCAAAUUAAGAAGCCAAGAAUUAGCCCUAUUAUUAAGGACUACUACUUGUUUAAGCAUCGUGUUGUAAAAUUAAUGCAACAUUUUUGAGCGCGCAUAUCUUUAACAUCCUGUCAUUAUUUUAACCGAUGUAUAAACAUUGAUAUCAUUACCGACGGAGAAACAUUUUUAAAAAACGUGGACAUCAACACAAAUUAAACUUUUUGGUUUUUGGAAGAUCCACACAUUAAACUUUAUCUAGCAUCAAAUGAUAACAGUGGGUGCCGGGUGGCAUCAUUUUGUCAAUUGUCACAGACAUAGAAAAGAAACAUAUCUCUGUCAUAUAUUCUUUC
rnacentral:lncRNA from 1 species